CGGUCCUAAGGUAGCGAAAUUCCUUGUCGGGUAAGUUCCGACCUGCACGAAUGGCAUAAUGAUGGCCAGGCUGUCUCCACCCGAGACUCAGUGAAAUUGAAAUCGCCGUGAAGAUGCGGUGUACCCGCGGCUAGACGGAAAGACCCCGUGAACCUUUACUAUAGCUUGACACUGAACAUUGAAUUUUGAUGUGUAGGAUAGGUGGGAGACUUUGAAGUAGUCACGCCAGUGAUUAUGGAGUCGUCCUUGAAAUACCACCCUUUAACGUUUGAUGUUCUAACGAAGAUUACGAAACGUGGUCUCGGACAGUGUCUGGUGGGUAGUUUGACUGGGGCGGUCUCCUCCCAAAGAGUAACGGAGGAGCACGAAGGUUUGCUAAUCACGGUCGGACAUCGUGAGGUUAGUGCAAUGGUAUAAGCAAGCUUAACUGCGAGACAGACAAGUCGAGCAGGUACGAAAGUAGGUCAUAGUGAUCCGGUGGUUCUGCAUGGAAGGGCCAUCGCUCAACGGAUAAAAGGUACUCCGGGGAUAACAGGCUGAUACCGCCCAAGAGUUCAUAUCGACGGCGGUGUUUGGCACCUCGAUGUCGGCUCAUCACAUCCUGGGGCUGAAGUAGGUCCCAAGGGUAUGGCUGUUCGCCAUUUAAAGUGGUACGCGAGCUGGGUUUAGAACGUCGUGAGACAGUUCGGUCCCUAUCUGCCGUGGGCGUUGGAGAAUUGAUUGGGGCUGCUCCUAGUACGAGAGGACCGGAGUGGACGCACCACUGGUGUUCCGGUUGUGUCGCCAGACGCAUUGCCGGGUAGCUAAGUGCGGAAGAGAUAAGUGCUGAAAGCAUCUAAGCACGAAACUUGCCAAGAGAUGAGUUCUCCCACACAUCAAGUGUGUAAGGGUUGUUUAAGACUAAGACGUAGAUAGGUCUGGUGUGUAAGCGGUGCGAGCCGUUGAGCUAACAGAUACUAAUUGCCCGAGAGGCUUAACUAU
rnacentral:rRNA from 1 species